CGUUCCGCUAGUGUGCCAUGCAA
rnacentral:miRNA from 14 species